AGCGAACGCUGGCGGCAGGCCUAACACAUGCAAGUCGAACGAACCUUUCGGGGUUAGUGGCGGACGGGUGAGUAACACGUGGGAACGUGCCUUUAAGUUCGGAAUCACUCAGGGAAACUUGUGCUAAUACCGAAUGUGCUCUUCGGGGGAAAGAUUUAUCGCCUUUAGAGCGGCCCGCGUCUGAUUAGCUAGUUGGUUGAGGUAAUGGCUCACCAAGGCGACGAUCAGUAGCUGGUCUGAGAGGAUGAUCAGCCACAUUGGGACUGAGACACGGCCCAAACUCCUACGGGAGGCAGCAGUGGGGAAUCUUGCGCAAGGGGCGAAAGCCUGACGCAGCCAUGCCGCGUGAAUGAUGAAGGUCUUAGGAUUGUAAAAUUCUUUCACCGGGGACGAUAAUGACGGUACCCGGAGAAGAAGCCCCGGCUAACUUCGUG
rnacentral:rRNA from 1 species